rnacentral:rRNA from 1 species
UACGGAGGGUGCGAGCGUUGUUCGGAAUCACUGGGCUUAAAGCGUGUGUAGGCGGAUCGUUAAGUGUCUUGUGAAAUCCCACGGCUCACCCGUGGAACGGCUGGGCAUACUGGCGAUCUUGGGCCAACUAGGGGCAACUGGAACAAGCGGUGGAGCGGUGAAAUGCGUAGAUAUCGCUUGGAACGCCGAAGGUGAAAACAGGUUGCUGGGGUUGUGCCGACGCUGAGACACGAAAGCCAGGGGAGCAAACGGG